AUGAUUCAAUGGGAGUUUUGUUCCUCCACUCAUGCUCUACAACUUGGUAUCAAGACAGGAAAGAAGAGAGUUAGAAAUCAACAACCCCGGCGGAAACGAGUGCAGGCCUUGAUGGAAAUGAUCCGUCGUGCUUCAAACUUUUGUAUCAAGUACGAGUUUCUCACCUCUUUACUAUGGUAUUAUCCUUCGUAUAUCACGCCUCUGACUCAUUUAGAUUCUAUGAUACAACAAUCAGUAGAAAAGGGCGAAAGAAAAAAGACAGAGGAAUGUCGAAGCUUACUGGCCAAAGAUACUCUGGUGGCUCUUUAA